GUCAGUGUAGUGUAGUGGUUUGAACACUGGACUAUGACUCUGGGGACCAGGGUUUGAAUCAUUGCUCAGCUG